AGUACUCAAGUGGCGAACGGGUGAGUAACACGUGGGUAAUCUGCCCUGCACUCUGGGAUAAGCCUGGGAAACUGGGUCUAAUACUGGAUAUGACCUUUCUCCUUAUGGGUUUGGUGGAAAGUUUUCGGUGUAGGAUGAGCCCGCGGCCUAUCAGCUUGUUGGUGGGGUAAUGGCCUACCAAGGCGGCGACGGGUAGCCGGCCUGAGAGGGUGUACGGCCACAUUGGGACUGAGAUACGGCCCAG
rnacentral:rRNA from 1 species